rnacentral:rRNA from 1 species
UACGUAGGGUGCGAGCGUUGUCCGGAAUUACUGGGCGUAAAGAGCUCGUAGGUGGUUUGUCGCGUUGUUCGUGAAAACUCACAGCUUAACUGUGGGCGUGCGGGCGAUACGGGCAGACUGGAGUACUGCAGGGGAGACUGGAAUUCCUGGUGUAGCGGUGAAUGCGCAGAUAUCAGGAGGAACACCGGUGGCGAAGGCGGUCUCUGGGCUAGCUGACGUCGUGAGGAGCGAAAGCUGGGGAGCAAACAGG